CGGUGACGCACCGUCAGCUGUCGAAAACCCUCGAAGUUUCGUGCUAGGUUUUCUCGACAUGAAAUCUGAACAGCGUGAUCGCGCUGCUUGGGACUCAAACGGUUAAGUAGUUAGUUUCGUCGAAGAUUACAUCCCUAACAACUAUAUACAUUUCCUUUUCCACAUCCCACAUUUUAUACUGUUUGAUUAUAUGCGCGUUUCCGUAAUCGCAACGCAUUGGCAUGGUCAGGCGGCGUGCGACGUGCGGCGGUGAGGUGCUGAUGUAAACACGCGAGUCUCCGACUCAUUUAGUCGAGAAGGAGCUAUGCGAGGUUAUGGGCCCAGUUGGAAGUUAUUAAAGGUGGCUUAUAGUUGAACUCCUCAAAAAAGUGAUAAAUUAGUGAAAAAUUAGUUUAUCCAGUAAUCGAAGAUUCUGAAAGCACGUGGUAAAUAAUCGAAGUUUCUGGAAGCGCGUGGUUAUAGGUUGCAACGGUUAUAGGAAGCAUUCCUUCUUUUCAACCGAAAUUGGAAGGCUCUUCAAACUACGCCGCAUGGAAGUUCGUAAUGAAAAU